rnacentral:rRNA from 1 species
GGAGGGUGCGAGCGUUAAUCGGAAUUACGUGGGCGUAAAGGGCGCGUAGGUGGUUAUGUAAGUGAGAUGUGAAAUCCCCGGGCUCAACCUGGGAACUGCGUCUUAUACUGCAUAGCUGGAGUACAUGAGAGGGUAGUGGAAUUUCCGGUGUAGCGGUGAAAUGCGUAGAUAUCGGAAGGAACACCAGUGGCGAAGGCGGCUACCUGGCAUGAUACUGACACUGAGGCGCGAGAGCGUGGGGAGCAAACAGGAUUAGAUACCCUGGUAGUCCACGCGGUAAACGAUGAAAACUAGAUGUUGGGCAGCUUAGACUGUUCGGUAUCGAAGCCAACGCGAUAAGUUUUCCGCCUGGGGAGUACGGUCGCAAGAUUA